CCCAUCGAGUUUUGCUCCAGCACUUGGUAUUCACAAUGAAGACAGCUUCCUUCUCCAUCGUCUUUCUUGCCUUUCUCUUGCUGCUCUCUGUAGCUUUGGCAAGUGAUGGGGUUAAAAAACAAAACGAAAAGCAAGCGACAGGCGAUAUUCUCAUGUGGAGGCCGUGCCCCGGUGGUCUUGGAUGCGGAUAUGGUGAGAGCUGCUGCUCCGGUACUGGAUGCUGCCGACCAAGUCAGCGAUGCUGCGGCCACCUUCUUUGCUGCAACGUUGAGGAGUAUACUGCGUUCGUGAAUGCUCACGCUGUCCCUGCCAGGAGAGCAGGCCUUGCAAACUGAAACCUUCUUAUCUCUGCGGCCACCUUCUUGUCUGCUAGCACAGCUUGCAUGCAGGGUGUGCAUUUCCAAGUUCUUGUUGUUUGCAAGAACCAGAACCGGUGUUUUCUUCUCUCGUCUGGGUGUACUUGUGCAAUGAAAUAAAAUAUGUUUUAUGUUUAAUUA